rnacentral:misc_RNA from 1 species
AUUUAAUUACGUCCUUAUAGCCUGUUCUCGAUCACUUUUUUAAAAAUAAGUUAACCUAUUUCAUAUUUUAUACCUUGUUCGACCGUUCGCGGAGAGACGCGAUCUCGAGGAAGCGCGUCGACAGGAAUCUUAAAUUCUCGUUACGAUUAUACAAUCGACGCCACGAAAUGAUCGAUCCCCUAUUUCGUUUAGGAUAAUAGAG